AUUUGUGGUAAUGCCGGAUGCUCCGACUCCUCGCAUGGGGUGUCGGGAAAGAUUUCAUCGGUAUGGGAUGGGGUCGCGUCCUAUCAGGUAGUCGGCGGGGUAACGGCCCACCGAGCCUACGACGGGUAGCCGGCCUGAGAGGGCGACCGNCCACAUUGGGACUGAGAUACGGCCCAGACUCCUACGGGAGGCAGCAGUGGGGAAUAUUUCACAAUGGGCGCAAGCCUGAUGCAGCGACGCCGCGUGCGGGAUGACGGCCUUCGGGUUGUAAACCGCUUUUGAUCGGGAGCAAGCCUUCGGGUGAGUGUACCUUUCGAAUAAGCACCGGCUAACUACGUGCCAGCAGCCGCGGUAAUACGUAGGGUGCAAGCGUUAUCCGGAAUUAUUGGGCGUAAAGGGCUCGUAGGCGGUUCGUCGCGUCCGGUGUGAAAGUCCAUCGCUUAACGGUGGAUCUGC
rnacentral:rRNA from 1 species